AUACGGAAGGUCCGGGCGUUAUCCGGAUUUAUUGGGUUUAAAGGGAGCGCAGGCGGAGAUGCAAGCGUGACGUCAAAUUUCGGGGCUCAACCCCGUCUCGCGUCGCGAACUGCGUCCCUUGGUUGCGGGAAGGGGAGGCGGAACUCGUGGUGUAGCGGUGAAAUGCAUAGAUAUCACGAAGAACCCCGAUUGCGAAGGCAGCUGUCUGGGGUGCCACUGACGCUGAGGCUCGAAAGUGCGGGUAUCAAACAGGAUUAGAUACCCUGGUAGUCCGCACAGUAAACGAUGGACACUCGUGGUCGGCGACACACUGCCGGUCACCAAGCGAAAGCGAUAAGUGUCCCACCUGGGGAGUACGCCGGCAACGGUGAAACUCAAAGGAAUUGACGGGG
rnacentral:rRNA from 1 species